UGCANNUCNAACGGACNCUUCNGUGGUUANUGNCGCUCNCNUGANUAACACGUGNNUGACCUACCCCAAAGUAAGGGAUAACNUUCCNAAAGGACUGCUAAUACCUUAUAAGCUCCCGGUGUUUAGAAAACUGGGAGAAAAGUUCCGGCGCUUUGGGCGGGGACUGCGGACCAUCAGCUAGUUGGUGUGGUAACGGCACACCAAGGCGACGACGGAUAGGGGACCUGAGAGGGUGGCCCCCCACACUGGAACUGAGACACGGUCCAGACUCCUACGGGAGGCAGCAGUGAGGAAUAUUGCACAAUGGGCGCAAGCCUGAUGCAGCGACGCCGCGUGGGUGAUGAAGGUUUUCGGAUCGUAAAGCCCUUUUCUAGAUGACGAGUAAGGACGGUAGUCUAGGAAUAAGUGUCGGCUAACUACGUGCCAGCAGCCGCGGUAAAACGUAGGACACAAGCGUUAUCCGGAGUUACUGGGCGUAAAGGGCGUGUAGGCGGACCUGUAAGUCUAUUCUGAAGCUCCUGGCUAAACUGGGAGAGGCGAAUGGAGACUGCAGAUCUAGAGUGAGGAAGAGGAAAGUGGAAUUCCGCGUGUAGUGGUGAAAUGCGUAGAGAUGCGGAGGAACACCAGUGGCGAAAGCGACUUUCUGGUCCUUAACUGACGCUGAGGCGCGAAAGCAUGGGGAGCGAACGGGAUUAGAAACCCCGGUAGUCCAUGCCAUAAACGAUGUUCACUAAACGUUCGUUUCCCGCGAGGGAAGCGGGUGUUGAAGCCAACGCAGUAAGUGAACCGCCUGGGGAGUACGGUCGCAAGGCUAAAACUCAAAGGAAUUGACGGGGGACCGCACAAGCAGCGGAGCGUGUGGUUUAAUUCGAGGCUACACGAAGAACCUUACCUGGGUUUGACAUCGUGUUGAAGUGCCCAUGAAAGUGGGUAUGCCUCGCAAGAGGCAAUACGACAGGUGCUGCAUGGCUGUCGUCAGCUCGUGCCGUGAGGUGUUCGGUUAAGUCCGCAAACGAGCGCAACCCCUCGGUGCCCAGUUACNAGUGUCUGGCCCGACUGCCCGUGGCAAACGGGAAGNAAGUUGGGGAUGACNUCCAAGUCAAUCUUGGCCUUUUUUUCCNGGGGCUACCCCACCGCUACAAUGGCNCCUACAUNGGNNCCCNAACCCCNCAGGGUGANCNUAUCCUAAAAAGCGNGUCUNCANUUCAAAUCGNAGGCUGAANCCCCCUGNCUNNAAUUUGANUUNCNU
rnacentral:rRNA from 1 species